rnacentral:rRNA from 1 species
UGAACGCUAGCGGCAGGCUUAACACAUGCAAGUCGAGGGGUAACAUAGAGAGCUUGCUUUCUGAUGACGACCGGCGCACGGGUGCGUAACGCGUAUGCAAUCUACCUUAUACUGAGGAAUAGCCCAGAGAAAUUUGGAUUAAUGCUUCAUAGUAUACAUUUAUCGCCUGGUAUAUGUAUUAAAGAUUACGGUAUAAGAUGAGCAUGCGUCCUAUUAGCUAGAUGGUGUGGUAACGGCACACCAUGGCAACGAUAGGUAGGGGCCCUGAGAGGGGGAUCCCCCACACUGGUACUGAGACACGGACCAGACUCCUACGGGAGGCAGCAGUGAGGAAUAUUGGACAAUGGAGGCAACUCUGAUCCAGCCAUGCCGCGUGCAGGAAGACUGCCCUAUGGGUUGUAAACUGCUUUUAUACAGGAAGAAACGUUUCUACGUGUAGAGAUUUGACGGUACUGUAAGAAUAAGGAUCGGCUAACUCC